UACAGAGGUCUCAAGCGUUGUUCGGAUUCAUUGGGCGUAAAGGGCUCGUAGGUGGCCAACUAAGUCAGACGUGAAAUCCCUCGGCUUAACCGGGGAACUGCGUCUGAUACUGGAUGGCUUGAGUUCGGGAGAGGGAUGCGGAAUUCCAGGUGUAGCGGUGAAAUGCGUAGAUAAUCUGGAGGAACACCGGUGGCGAAGGCGGCAUCCUGGACCGACACUGACACUGAGGAGCGAAAGCCAGGGGAGCAAACGGGGAUAG
rnacentral:rRNA from 1 species